UGGGGAAUAUUGGACAAUGGGCGCAAGCCUGAUCCAGCCAUGCCGCGUGAGUGAUGAAGGCCCUAGGGUUGUAAAGCUCUUUCACCGGUGAAGAUAAUGACGGUAACCGGAGAAGAAGCCCCGGCUAACUUCGUGCCAGCAGCCGCGGUAAUACGAAGGGGGCUAGCGUUGUUCGGAUUUACUGGGCGUAAAGCGCACGUAGGCGGACUUUUAAGUCAGGGGUGAAAUCCCGGGGCUCAACCCCGGAACUGCCUUUGAUACUGGAAGUCUUGAGUAUGGAAGAGGUGAGUGGAAUUCCGAGUGUAGAGGUGAAAUUCGUAGAUAUUCGGAGGAACACCAGUGGCGAAGGCGGCUCACUGGUCCAUUACUGACGCUGAGGUGCGAAAGCGUGGGGAGCAAACA
rnacentral:rRNA from 2 species